rnacentral:rRNA from 1 species
UACGGGGGGAGCAAGCGUUGUUCGGAUUUACGGGGCGUAAAGGGCGCGUAGGCGGCACCGCAAGUCGACUGUGAAAUCUCCGGGCUUAACCCGGAAAGGUCAGCCGAUACUGCGGGGCUAGAGUGCAGAAGGGGCAACUGGAAUUCUCGGUGUAGCGGUGAAAUGCGUAGAUAUCGAGAGGAACACCUGCGGCGAAGGCGGGUUGCUGGGCUGACACUGACGCUGAUGCGCGAAAGCCAGGGGAGCGAACGGG